UGAGACCUGGGGCUCAAAGUGUUUACCCUGGUUAAAUAAAAGUUCAUACAAAAUAUAGCUGUUUACAAUCACCACUAGAUGGUGGGAUUCCCUUUCUGUUUUUCACCUGCUUUAUUUCACCAACACAAGUCUUUCCCACUGACGGAUACAGUAUUUACACGUUCUUGAGUAGUCUCAAGGCAAGCUGAGGAAUUCUUACAUGACAUAGCUAGCUUAUGUGAUAUUAUAUCAAAUUAAAGUACAACAACACUCAUAAUGUGUUGCUUCGUGUGUGAUUAAUAGGCUACUGUAUGCAUGAUUUCCUUCAUCAAUUAGGCUACCUGAGGUUCCUCUACGUAAGUGAAUAUGAUUUGAACAUGGUUUAAUAUCCAAUGUUAUGCCAUGAGCUGAAGUAUAUGACUACUCAUUAAUCUAGCCGAUGGUUUAUACUCACAAAAUAAAUAUCUUCCGUUACAAAACAAAUCAGCAUUCCAAGAGGCUAAUUACUAAUAGCAUCAACUGGCUUACAGUAUUAAUUCAGAAACCUUGAUUUGUUCUGGAUAAUAUUUAACCAAACUAAUUCCCAAAAAUCUCUCUCUGCAUGUUCCGUAAUAACAAUAUUACAAAAACUCUGCAUGUUCUACAGGCCAACCGCUUUGAGGAUAAUACAGUGCCACCAACACGGCCCGUUGCAAUGGACUGUGGGCUCUCCUUCUCCCUGGCAGACGGGAAUAAGACAUUUAUACGUGUUAAACCUCGCAAGGCUGCCGGCCCAGACGACAUCCCCAGCCGCGUCCUCAGAGCAUGCGCAGACCAGCUGGCUGGUGUGUUUACGGACAUAUUCAAUCUCUCCCUAUCCCAGUCUGUUGUCCCCACAUGCUUCAGAUGGCCACCAUUGUUCCUGUACCCAAGAAAGCAAAGGUCCACAGACGAUGCAAUCGCCAUAACACUGCACACUGCCCUAUCUCAUCUGGACAAGAGGAAUACCUAUGUAAGAAUGCUGUUCAUUGACUACAGCUCAGCAUUCAACGCCAUAGUACCCACCAUAGUACCCGUCUGGCUGCAUAACCGCCUGGCACGGCAACUGCAUCGCCCACAACCGCAAGGCUCUCCAGAGGGUGGUGCGGUCUGCACAGCGCAUCACCAGGGGCAAACUACGUGCCCACCAGGACACCUACAGCACCUGAUGUCACAGGAAGGCCAAAAGAUCAUCAAGGACAACAACCACCCGAGCCAUUGUCUGUUCACCUCGCGACCACCCAGAAGGCGAUGUCUUUACAGGUGCAUCAAAGCUGGGACCGAGAGACUGAAAAACAGCUUCUAUCUCAAGACCAUCAGACUGUUAAACAGCCAUCACUAACACCCAGAGGCUGCAGCAUACAUACAGACUUGAAAUCAUUGGCCAUUUUAAUAAAUGGAUCACUAGUCACAUUAAUAAUGCGACUUUAAUAUGUUUACGUAUCUUGCAUUACUCAUCUCAUAUGUAUAUACUGUAUUUUAUACCUUCUAUUGCAUCUUGCCUACACCACUCUGUCAUUGCUCAUCCUUAUAUUUAUAUGUAUAUAUUAUUAUUCCAUUCCUUUACUUAGAUGUGUGUGUAUUGGGUAGUUAUGGAAUUGUUAGAUUACAUGUUAGAUAUUGCUGCACUGUCGGAACUAGAAGCACAAGCACUUUGCUACACUCACAAUAACAUCUUGCUAACCAUAUGUAUGUCACAAAUACAAUUUGAUUUGAACCUGUUAUUACUGUAAAUGGGGCCACACAUCUGAUGAAGAACAUCGGAUGAAGUGUUACCUUAAUUAUGAGAGCUAAUUACUCAAAUUACUUAACGAAUACCUCUGAAUGCAAAGAGGUUUAUAAAGUGUAGAUCAAUCACAAUACUUUUUAAUGGUUGUCAAACCUUUUAAAUGUUUAAAUGUUUAAUGGUCAUGGUACAGAGGGCUGAAUGAAAAGUGUAUUGUGAAAGUCAAGGAAAUUACCCCAUUGAAAUGACGUAACUUUUAUGACUUAUCUUGCCUAUUUAAAGGUUAUUGUCUCCAUGUAUAGAUAUACUGUAAACAGUGAGAUGUUAACAUUGAAUUAAACUUGACUGGGCCUUUUAA